UCCCAGUGGAUCUGUUUAUAU
rnacentral:piRNA from 1 species